AUGGGCAUGAUGGGAUGUCGUGCAGCCCCUACGCCGAUUGAACAAAAUCAUCGAGUGACAGCUCAAUCAGGUGAGCUGGUGAAUAAGGAAGAUUAUCAGAAAUUAGUUGGGAGGUUAUUGUACUUGUGUCAUACCAGGCCUGACAUUACGUAUGCCGUGGGUGUGGUGAGCAGAUACAUGCAUGAACCAAGGAGUGGGCAUCUUGAUAUUGUGCACAGAAUUCUGAGAUACUUAAAGGGGACUCCGGGUAAAGGGUUGUGGUUUGCGAAGAGUGGACAUCUUGAGGUGGAUGGCUAUAGUGACUCUGAUUGGGCCAGUUGUCAAGAUGAUAGAAGAUCAACUUCUGGCUACUGUGUGUUUGUGGGAGGAAAUUUGGUGUCAUGA
rnacentral:rRNA from 1 species